ensembl:lncRNA
GUGUGUUGGAGGUCGGUGAAGAUGCUGGACUCGGCAUGGCACAAGCUGGACUUGCAGCAGUUCAAGGCCAGCCACUGGGGUGCGAGUGUGGUGGACCACCCCAGGGCUGGCACCCCGCAGCGCAGGGAUCCCAGUGACUGCGGGGCUCUGGCUCCCAUCGCUCCCCUGGACCCUGAAGGUUGCUGCUCUGCAGCUCCUGCGGUUCUUGUGAGACCCACAAGUGCUGCACUACCUUCAUAGAAGACACCAGUUUUUCGGAGAGCGGCAGCUGCAGUGCUGUGGGCGCUGGUGGGAAGGGCAACACGGCCACAGAGACGUGCGCCUGCACCCUUCUCCGUGCACCUCGCAGCCCCUUCAGUAUCACACCCAGCACGGGAAUCCCUGCUCAGCAACCCAGCAGCCGGCACCUCGGCUCCAGCGCAAGAGGCGGUGAAGCUCCAGGGACUAAGCCAGAGCCCAGCCGCCCGCACACGAUGCUCUUCGGGCUGUACGCAUGUCACUCCCCCCACAAGGCAGGGACGGGCACCCAGCCGGAUGGACACGGCCAUACCUGACUACAGCAGAUGGGGAGCAGAGCGGCCAAGACGGCUGCGGGGCCCUUCGUGGUGCUGCAGGACGUUGGCACGCUUUUGUCCCCCAGCUGCUGGGUGGGUGCAGGAUUUCAAAGAGCGAGUGCAUCAUACCAAGAAAAUCAAGUCAGGAUCCCCAAAUUUUGCUGAGCUGUGGAAGCCAGGGCUGGGGGUACAACGCCACAACUGCAACCCACAGCGUGGUCACCAAGAAGAAGAGGGAGAUACGAGCAGACCUGAAGCACUUCUGGGUGCAGGCACUCCUGCAGCUAUCCAGAGCAGAAAAGCUGCUCUCCCACCGCUGUGAAGGAAGUGAAAACACAGAGAUGGUGCAGAACACGUCAAAAUGUUUGUUGAGGACUCAGGAGCUCUGGUGCCUAAAUAAAUCUCUUGCACUAGGAAAUUAGGGAUUUUGUGGUUUAUUUGCGACACGACACCGUCUUCAGGCCACACCCAUGCAAGACAUAUGAGCUGACAUGUCUCCAACUCCCCGCUGGAGCUGACAGCCACCCAGCACAGCCCCGUGGGCAGACGUGGGCAUCCCAAAGCCACCCCUCAGGGCCCCCAGCACCCCGGGGAGCACUCGCAGCCCCACCGCAAGCUCUGCUCAUUGUGACAUCGGCACCGCGUCACCAACGCCCACGUUCUCACUGUGACAUCACAAUGUGCAGGGCUGUUUCACACAGCGCACGCCCGUGUCCCCCCAGUCCCGGGUACCUCUGGAUCGAGGAAGCAGCACCACUGCUUUGCUCCAGAAGGAAAGCCCAGGAAUGGAGCGGAGGUCUCAACACCUCGGUGCGCCACAACCCAACCCUUCCACCCGCCGCCCGGCAGCACAGCCCAGGCCCGAACGGGUGCCGUUCCCCCCAGAAAUGAAGCAGUGUGUCUCCGAGGAGGAAGGCGAGUGUAGAGCAUUCCCGCAGCGGAUGUGCAGGUGUCACCCUGCUCACAUGCUUGGGGUGAUAAUGCCCUUGUCCCCACUGCAGGGUGCAGGCUGUGCCAGCGGACAGAGCACGACCCCGAGAUAUACGGAGAGACGUGCCGUCAGGACAGCCUGUGCAUCCACGAGAACUGCCUGGUGAGCCCCAACCCCAGCCCCCAGCCCCCAGCCCCGUGCCAGCCGCUGCACCCCACGUGCAGUAACAGGUCCCCGGUUGCCUCCUGCAGUACCACGCCAGCGGGCUGUACCAGCGCGGUGCUGACGAGGAAGGAUUCUUCGGAUUCCUCUUUCCUGACAUCGAGCAGGAGCUGCAGCGCGUGGCACAGAAGGUGAACAGGGCGCCGUGUCCCCACCUCGGUCCCCGUGCCACGUGGCUGGGAGACGCCAGCAGAGCCCUGGCUGUCCGAAAAGUCCCAUCGCUGCACAAAUCAGAACUGAUUCAUGCUGCGGGGUCCCUAGCCACGUGG